AGCAUUACGAAUGCAUUAUUUGCAUUAGGGCCUAUAACAGCCAGCGACGUGAUCUUCUUUGAAAGAGGAAGGAGCUUAGCAGAGUUCUUUAACAGAACAAUGCCAUUUCUCGCGGCUUCAAGUGCUAGUUCCUGGUGCUCCUUGGUGCAGACCUGAUCUGGACCAAUGCUACCAUAAAGCAGUUUCUUUGGGUCUCCAUUAAACAGUCCCAAUCUCAUUCGAACAGAAAAGAGAUUCUGAAGGGCUCUGUCAAUGUCAGAUUCUGAUACCUUUUUCUGCAAAAAGGCUGAUUUGGUAUAGUUCAGCAGUUGGUUGCAGGUCGCACAAGUUUGUACUUUAAUGGAUGGACAGCCCAUUGCUAUAUGAAUCCAAAACCUAGCCGCCAUAGUGGACCAGGUGGGAGCAGUAAUCCUGUUGUUUGAGGAAACGAGUCACUGUCAUUUUGGGCCCAGAAGCCAGCUAAGCUUGAAAAGUCUGGGCCCAGGCAAGUCUAAGUGAACAAAUCAUCUCAAGAGCCACUAGGACUUUGGCGGGGUGGUCACCACCAAGACUAUACAGUCCGGGUGGUGUGGAAGGUCAAGGGUUUAACUCUUACCAAUCCUUGACCUUCCACCAAAAUUUGCCACAACAUGUGGUGGUUUUAAUUAAAUUUUUUCGAUGGAAUCUUUAUUUACAUCGAAUCUCCCUCCUCCUCCCCCUCCCUCCUAUAUUAGGUUAGGCUAAAUUAGGUUAUCGGAAUUCUACCGUUGCGACAAAAAAAAAAAAAAUCAUCUCAGAGUGAAAGCCA